ACGUAGGGAGCGAGCGUUAUCCGGAUUUAUUGGGUGUAAAGGGUGCGUAGACGGGAAUACAAGUUAGUUGUGAAAUACCUCGGCUUAACUGAGGAACUGCAACUAAAACUAUAUUUCUUGAGUGCAGGAGAGGUAAGUGGAAUUCCUAGUGUAGCGGUGAAAUGCGUAGAUAUUAGGAGGAACACCAGUGGCGAAGGCGACUUACUGGACUGAAACUGACGUUGAGGCACGAAAGUGUGGGGAGCAAACAG
rnacentral:rRNA from 1 species